rnacentral:rRNA from 1 species
AAACGACUCUCGGCAACGGAUAUCUCGGCUCUCGCAUCGAUGAAGAACGUAGCGAAAUGCGAUACUUGGUGUGAAUUGCAGAAUCCCGUGAACCAUCGAGUCUUUGAACGCAAGUUGCGCCCCAAGCCUUCUGGCCGAGGGCACGUCUGCUUGGGU